rnacentral:rRNA from 1 species
GUGGGGAAUAUUGGACAAUGGGCGCAAGCCUGAUCCAGCCAUGCCGCGUGAGUGAUGAAGGCCUUAGGGUUGUAAAGCUCUUUCAGUGGGGACGAUAAUGACGGUACCCACAGAAGAAGCCCCGGCUAACUUCGUGCCAGCAGCCGCGGUAAUACGAAGGGGGCUAGCGUUGUUCGGAUUUACUGGGCGUAAAGCGCACGUAGGCGGAUCGUUAAGUCGGGGGUGAAAUCCUGGAGCUGAACUCCAGAACUGCCGUCGAUACUGGCGAUCUUGAGUCCGGAAGAGGUGAGUGGAACUCCUAGUGUAGAGGUGGAAUUCGUAGAUAUUAGGAAGAACACCAGUGGCGAAGGCGGCUCACUGGUCCGGUACUGACGCUGAGGUGCGAAAGCGUGGGGAGCAAACAGGAUUAGAUACCCCGGUAGUCC